CCUACGGGUGGCAGCAGUGAGGAAUAUUGGUCAAUGGGCGCGAGCCUGAACCAGCCAAGUAGCGUGAAGGAUGACUGCCCUACGGGUUGUAAACUUCUGUUAUCAAGGAAUAAAGUGAGGCACGUGUGCCUUUUUGUAUGUACUUUAUGAAUAAGGAUCGGCUAACUCAGUGCCAGCAGCCGAGGUAAUACGGAGGUUCCGAGCGUUAUCCGGAUUUAUUGGGUUGAAAGGGAUCGGAGAUGGGUGAUUACGUCAGUUGUGAAAGUUUGCGGCACAACCGCAAAGUUGCAAUGGAUACUGGAGGUCUUGAGUACAGUAGAGGUAGGCGGAAUUCGUGGUGUAGCGGUGAAAUGCUUAGAUAUCACGAAGAACUCCGAUUGCGAAGGCAGCUUACUAAACUGCCACUGACAUUGAUGCUCGAAAGUGUGGGUAUCAAACAGGAUUAGAUACCCUAGUAGUC
rnacentral:rRNA from 1 species